AGAAAGAAGAAAAGAAGGAAGAAACAAACGAAGAUUAAAAGAGGGGAGGAAGAGAUUCAAAACGUGCUUUAUCGAUGAUGUCUGGAUGGAGACACUAUUUAUUCUAUUUUUUUACGUCAAUUACUAUCUUUUAUCAUA
rnacentral:ribozyme from 1 species